AUCGCUUCUCAGCCUUUUGGCUAAGAUCAAGUGUACUAUCUCCAAGUUAGAAAUGUUUAAACCUCAAGAUUUAGAUAUCUUAAAUUUAGAUAGAUUAAAUGUAAUAUAACCUAAU
ensembl:snRNA U2 U2 spliceosomal RNA